AGCGGCGGACGGGUGAGUAACGCGUGGGUAACCUGCCUCAUACAGGGGGAUAACAGUUGGAAACGGCUGCUAAUACCGCAUAAGCGCACAGUACCGCAUGGUACCGUGUGAAAACUCCGGUGGUAUGAGAUGGACCCGCGUCUGAUUAGCUAGUUGGUGGGGUAACGGCCUACCAAGGCGACGAUCAGUAGCCGACCUGAGAGGGUGACCGGCCACAUUGGGACUGAGACACGGCCCAA
rnacentral:rRNA from 1 species